AACGCACAUUGCGCCCCUCGGUAUUCCGUGGGGCAUGCCUGUUCGAGCGUCAUUUAAACCUUCAAGCUCAGCUUGGUGUUGGGUGCUUGUCCCGCCUCCGCGCGGCGACUCACCUCAAAGUCAUUGGCAGCCCGCAUCAGCCGGCCGUGAGCGCAGCACAGUCGCGCCCUAGGCCCCGGCGGAUCGGCUCUCCAGAAGCCCAUCUUCUCUUUUUUGACCUCGGAUCAGGUAGGGAUACCCGCUGAACUUAA
rnacentral:misc_RNA from 1 species